rnacentral:rRNA from 1 species
UGAAUACGAGAUGCUACGGCGUCGAAGCAGUCUAUGUCAUACUUCCAAGAAAAGCUUGCACUGUCAUAAACAAAUAAUGCCUGUACCAUAACCGACACAGGUGGGUAGGUAGAGUAUACUAAGGGGCGCGAGAUAACUCUCUCUAAGGAACUCGGCAAAAUGACUCCGUAACUUCGGGAGAAGGAGUGCCUUAUUUAUAAGGUUGCAAUAACAAGAUCCAAGCAACUGUUUACCAAAAACACAGGUCUCCGCUAAGUCGUAAGACGAUGUAUGGGGGCUGACGCCUGCCCAGUGCCAGAAGGUUAAAGAAGUUGGUUAGCAUCCGCGAAGCUGAUAACUGAAGCCCUGGUGAACGGCGGCCGUAACUAUAACGGUCCUAAGGUAGCGAAAUUCCUUGUCGGGUAAGUUCCGACCCGCACGAAAGGCGUAAUGAUUUGGAUACUGUCUCGGAGAGGGGCUCGGUGAAAUAGACUUGUCUGUGAAGAUGCGGACUACCUGCACCAGGACAGAAAGACCCUAUGAAGCUUUACUGUAACCUGAAAUUGAAAUUGGACUUUACUUGCGCAGUAUAGGUGGGAGGCGUUGAGAAUAUUCUUGCGGGAUUAUUGGAGCCAUCAAUGAGAUACCACUCUUGUAAUGUUAGAUUUCUAACUUUGUAUCAUUAUCUGGUCAAAGAACAGUUUCAGGCGGGCAGUUUGACUGGGGCGGUCGCCUCCUAAACGGUAACGGAGGCGCACAAAGGUUUCCUCUGAACGGGUAGAAAUCGUAUCUAGAGUGUAAAGGCAUAAGGAAGCUUGACUGUGAGACCUACAAGUCGAGCAGGGACGAAAGUCGGUCUUAGUGAUCUGACGGUGCUGAUUGGAAAGGCCGUCACUCAACGGAUAAAAGUUACUCUAGGAUAACAGGCUGAUCUCCCCCAAGAGUUCACAUCGACGGGGAGGUUUGGCACCUCGAUGUCGGCUCAUCGCAUCCUGGGGCGGUAGUACGUCCCAAGGGUUGGGCUGUUCGCCCAUGAAAGCGGUACGCGAGCUGGGUUCAGAACGUCGUGAGACAGUUCGGUCCAUAUCCGGUGUAGGCGUUAGAAUAUUGAGAGGAGCCUUCUUUAGUACGAGAGGACCGAGAAGGACAUACCUCUGGUGUACCAGUUAUCGUGCCAACGGUAAACGCUGGGUAGCUAUGUGUGGAGUGGAUAACCGCUGAAAGCAUCUAAGUGGGAAGCCCACCUCAAGAUAAGUAUUCCC